rnacentral:rRNA from 1 species
AACGAACGCUGGCGGCAUGCCUAACACAUGCAAGUCGAACGAUGCCUCCGUGCGUAGUGGCGCACGGGUGCGUCACGCGUGGGAAUCUGCCUUUCGGUUCGGAAUACCUCUGGUAAACUUGAGCUAAUACCGGAUAACGUCGCAAGACCAAAGAUUUAUCCCCGAAGGAUGAGCCCGCGUAGGUUUAGCUAGUUGGUGUGGUAAAGGCUCACCACGGCGUCGAUCCUUAGCUGGUCUGAGAGAAUGAUCAGCCACACUGGGACUAUGACGCGGUCCAGACUCCUACGGGAGGCAGCAGUGGGGAAUACAGGAAUAUGGGCGGAGGCAUGAUCGAGCAAUGCCGCGAGAGUGAUGAAGGCGUUAGGGAAGUAAAGCAGUUUUACCCGGGAAGAUAAUGACGGUACCGAGAGAAUAAGCCCCGGCUAACUCCGUG